GACGAACGCUGGCGGCGCGCCUAACACAUGCAAGUCGAACGGAGCUGAGAGGAGCUUGCUUUUCUUAGCUUAGUGGCGAACGGGUGAGUAACGCGUGAGUAACCUGCCCUGGAGUGGGGGACAACAGUUGGAAACGACUGCUAAUACCGCAUAAGCCCACGGCCCGGCAUCGGGCUGAGGGAAAAGGAUUUAUUCGCUUCAGGAUGGACUCGCGUCCAAUUAGCUAGUUGGUGAGGUAACGGCCCACCAAGGCGACGAUUGGUAGCCGGACUGAGAGGUUGAACGGCCACAUUGGGACUGAGACACGGCCCAGACUCCUACGGGAGGCAGCAGUGGGGGAUAUUGCACAAUGGGGGAAACCCUGAUGCAGCGACGCCGCGUGGAGGAAGAAGGUUUUCGGAUUGUAAACUCCUGUCGUUAGGGACGAUAAUGACGGUAC
rnacentral:rRNA from 1 species